rnacentral:rRNA from 1 species
UACGUAGGGUGCGAGCGUUGUCCGGAAUUAUUGGCGUAAAGAGCUUGUAGGCGGCUUGUCGCGUCUGCUGUGAAAAUCCGGGGCUCAACCCCGGACUUGCAGUGGGUACGGGCAGACUAGAGUGCGGUAGGGGUGACUGGAAUUCCUGGUGUAGCGGUGAAAUGCGCAGAUAUCAGGAGGAACACCGGUGGCGAAGGCGACCAUCUGGACGGAUACUGACGCUGAGACGCGAAAGCGUGGGUAGCAAACAGG